GAACAGGAUUAGAUACCCUGGUAGUCCAUGCCGUAAACGUUGGGCGCUAGGUGUGGGGCUCAUUCCACGAGUUCCGUGCCGCAGCUAACGCAUUAAGCGCCCCGCCUGGGGAGUACGGCCGCAAGGCUAAAACUCAAAGGAAUUGACGGGGGCCCGCACAAGCGGCGGAGCAUGCGGAUUAAUUCGAUGCAACGCGAAGAACCUUACCAAGGCUUGACAUACACCGGAAUCAUGCAGAGAUGUGUGCGUCUUCGGACUGGUGUACAGGUGGUGCAUGGUUGUCGUCAGCUCGUGUCGUGAGAUGUUGGGUUAAGUCCCGCAACGAGCGCAACCCUCGUUCCAUGUUGCCAGCACGUCAUGGUGGGGACUCAUGGGAGACUGCCGGGGUCAACUCGGAGGAAGGUGGGGAUGACGUCAAAUCAUCAUGCCCCUUAUGUCUUGGGCUUCACGCAUGCUACAAUGGCCGGUACAGAGGGUUGCGAAACUGUGAGGUGGAGCUAAUCCCAAAAAACCGGUCUCAGUUCGGAUUGGGGUCUGCAACUCGACCCCAUGAAGUCGGAGUCGCUAGUAAUCGCAGAUCAGCAACG
rnacentral:rRNA from 1 species